rnacentral:sRNA from 1 species
AUCAAUUUAAUUUAGUAACUGCAUCAGUUUAUUUACAAACUGAUCCACACCUAGAUAGGUGUGGAUCAGUUUGUAAAUAAACUGAUGCAGUUACUAAUUUCCGAG